rnacentral:rRNA from 1 species
AAUGAACGCUGGCGGCAGGCCUAACACAUGCAAGUCGAACGGAUCCUUCGGGAUUAGUGGCGGACGGGUGAGUAACGCGUGGGAACAUACCCUUUGGUACGGAAUAGCCUCGGGAAACUGGGAGUAAUACCGUAUGUGGUCGAGAGACGAAAGAUUUAUCGCCAAAGGAUUGGCCCGCGUUGGAUUAGGUAGUUGGUUGGGUAAUGGCCUACCAAGCCGACGAUCCAUAGCUGGUUUGAGAGGAUGAUCAGCCACACUGGGACUGAGACACGGCCCAGACUCCUACGGGAGGCAGCAGUGGGGAAUCUUAGACAGUGGGGGAAACCCUGAUCUAGCCAUGCCGCGUGAUCGAUGAAGGCCUUAGGGUUGUAAAGAUCUUUCAGGUGGGAAGAUAAUGACUGUACCACCAGAAGAAGCCCCGGCUAACUCCGUGCCAGCAGCCGCCGUAAAAC